CAGCAGCCGCGGUAAUACGUAGGGGGCAAGCGUUGUCCGGAAUCAUUGGGCGUAAAGAGCUCGUAGGCGGUUCAGUAAGUCGGGUGUGAAAGCUCCGAGCUCAACUCGGAGAGGCCACUCGAUACUGCUGUGACUAGAAUCCAGUAGGGGAGUGUGGAACUCCUGGUGUAGCGGUGAAAUGCGCAGAUAUCAGGAAGAACACCAGCGGCGAAGGCGGCACUCUGGGCUGGUAUUGACGCUGAGGAGCGAAAGUGUGGGUAGCAAACAGGAUUAGAUACCCUGGUAGUCCACACCGUAAACGUUGGGCACUAGGUGUGGGGAGGAUCAACCCUUUCCGUGCCGUAGCUAACGCAUUAAGUGCCCCGCCUGGGGAGUACGGCCGCAAGGCUAAAACUCAAAGGAAUUGACGGGGGCCCGCACAAGCGGCGGAGCAUGUUGCUUAAUUCGAGGCAACGCGAAGAACCUUACCUAGGUUGAACUACGCAGGAACAGCCACAGAGAUGUGGUGUCCUUCGGGGCCUGCGAUAGGUGGUGCAUGGCC
rnacentral:rRNA from 1 species